rnacentral:rRNA from 1 species
GAAUCCCGUCUUUGACACGGACUACCAGGGCUUUGUGAUGCGCUCUCAAAGAGUCGAGUUGUUUGGGAAUGCAGCUCUAAAUGGGUGGUAAAUUCCAUCUAAAGCUAAAUAUUGGCGAGAGACCGAUAGCGAACAAGUACCGUGAGGGAAAGAUGAAAAGCACUUUGGAAAGAGAGUGAAACAGUACGUGAAAUUGUUGAAAGGGAAACGCUUGAAGUCAGUCGCGUCGACCGAGACUCAGCCUCGCCUCGGCUUGGUGUACUUCUCGGCUGACGGGUCAGCAUCAAUUUUGCCCCUUGGAUAAUGGCGAGGGAAAUGUGACACCUUUGCGGUGUGUUAUAGUCUCUCGUCGCAUGCAAGGGUCGGGAUUGAGGAACUCAGCACGCGCCUUUGGGCGUCGGGGCUUUGCCCACGAUACGUGCUUAGGAUGCUGGCGUAAUGGCUUUAAACGACCCGUCUUGAAACACGGACCAAGGAGUCUAACAUGCCUGCGAGUGUUCGGGUGGAAAACCCGUGCGCGCAAUGAAAGUGAAAGUUGGGACCUCUGUCGUGGAGGGCACCGACGCCCGGACCAGACCUUCUGUGACGGAUCCGCGGUAGAGCAUGUAUGUUGGGACCCGAAAGAUGGUGAACUAUGCCUGAAUAGGGUGAAGCCAGAGGAAACUCUGGUGGAGGCUCGUAGCGAUUCUGACGUGCAAAUCGAUCGUCAAAUUUGGGUAUAGGGGCGAAAGACUAAUCGAACCAUCUAGUAGCUGGUUCCUGCC